AUAAAAUCCCAGCAUGGGGGUGUCUGCCCUCCACCUUCCUGACACCCAGGCACCACUGUGAUGGAAUCCCAGCAUGGCAGGGGGGUGUCUUCCCUCCACUGCAAUACCCGGGGACCAGUCAGGAUGCAACAGAGGUCCAGAAGUCCAAAGCAUAUGUGGUUAAAGGUGAACUCUCUUUCUCAGUGAGACAUCACUGAAGAACAGGUGCCAAAUGGCAGGUCUGUGUGCACCCAGGCCCU